AUUGAACGCUGGCGGCAGGCCUAACACAUGCAAGUCGAACGAGUGGCGGACGGGUGAGUAAUGUCUGGGAAACUGCCUGAUGGAGGGGGAUAACUACUGGAAACGGUAGCUAAUACCGCAUACCAUCAGAUGUGCCCAGAUGGGAUUAGCUAGUCGGUGGGGUAACGGCUCACCAAGGCGACGAUCCCUAGCUGGUCUGAGAGGAUGAAAGCCAAAACUGGAACUGAGAAACGGACCAGACUCCUACGGGAGGCAGCAGUGGGGAAUAUUGCACAAUGGGUUCAAGCCUGAUGCAGCCAUGCCGAGUGUAUGAAGAAGGCCUUCGGGUUGUAAGGUACUUUCAGCGGGGAUGCGUUACCCGCUGAAUAAGGACCGGCUAACUCCGUGCCAGCAGACGCGGUAAUUC
rnacentral:rRNA from 1 species